AACCACUAUCGUCCAUUUGUGUGAAUAAAAUUUAUGAUUUGCGACGUUGCAUUUUGAUGAUACCGGUUAAUUUUCAUGCAAAUAAUUCUAUAUCUGGCAGCAGUUUUUGUGUUCAUAACAGCGAGGUUUAGAUGGGGAAAAACUCCUCGUAUGUAUCGUUUGCACCGUGACUGAGAAACGAGAAGUUUCUGUUGCAAUUAUCUUCUCUCUUUGAUGGGUACACGUCCAACAGAAAGCUGCUAGCAUUGCCCGAGAUUUUUCGUUUGUUUUGGUUUGAUGAGUUCAUGUAUGAGCACAUAUAUAUAUCGAGUCUAUAUAUCCAGUAAAAUUACUCUCAUAAUUAUGAGAAUAAAUAUAUAUGGGAUUUAUAUUUACAUGCAAGAAGUGUAUCUAAAUUCCAAAUAAUUUCUAAGCGCAUUGUUUGUUAUAGGGACAAAAUACAAGAACAUAUCCACUUUAAGGGUAGUGAUGGACAGGGGUUUGCCCGAGUAAAUAAAGAAAGAAAGAUGC
rnacentral:lncRNA from 1 species